UGCUUGUGGUUGCGGGUAUAGGUGUUUGACGAUUAGUUUGCGGGUACGUACUUGCAUUUGUUUGCGUGUGUGCAUGUGUACUUGUGUCUGGAUGUGUGUGCAGGUGUGCAUGUGUGUGUUUGGGUGACUGUAGAUGUGUGUACUUGUUAGUGCAGAUGUGCGUGUGUACUUGUUUGUUUGGGUAUGCAAGUACGUAUGUCCGUUCGUGAGUGUGUGCUAAUAUGCGCUCGCAUGCGUUUGUUUGAGUGUUUGAUGUGUGUGGUGCUUGCAUCCUUGCGUGUGCUUGGUAUUGUGGCGCGUCUACAAGUGCGGGUGCAUUAGGGUUUGUUUACGGGUAUGUGCGUGCGUUUAUAUGCGUGUGUAGAUGUGUGUGCAUGUUUGUUUGAGUGCACGGGUCUGUACGGCCAUGUGUAUAUGAGUGUGUGUAAGUGCGUGUGCGACGUGUUGUUUUGGUGUGUGGCUGUCUGCGGUGCUAUCGUGCAUGUGUGCAGGUGUGCAUGUGUGUUUGGUUUUGUAUGUGUUUGUGCGGGUGUGUAAGGGUUUGUUUGCAGCUACGUGCGUGCGUUUCUGUGUGGUAUUGGAUGAAAUUGUACAUUUCUACAAUCAUGCAAAUGUUUUGUUUCUUACUUUUGAGUAAAUGUCUCUCGCUUUGAAUCUUGGUAUUUUGUCUUUGUUUAUAUUGUUUCUUAUUUUUUAGUAGAUCUUUGUUUGUGUGUGCAUGCGUGCGCGCGCGCGCAUUUGUUAGUGUGUAUGUGGGUGGGUGGGUUUGUAGGUUUUGGUGUGGGUUGGGUUGUGUGCGUUUGGGUGUGUGUAUUUGGGGCGCAUGUGUGCGUAGAAUAUUGGUCGAAGCUGUACAAGUUCUAUAGCAUGCAAAGAUAUUGUUUCUAACUUUUUAAUACAACUCUUUUACUUGCUCUCCCUAUUUUUUGUCUUUGUGUGUAUAUUAAAUUGAAUCUAUGUAAAAGAGGAAACUGCAAUUAGUUAUAUUCCAAUCCUAGAGUUAUUUUUUUUAAUAUAUGUACGACCUAUCUGGUAAUUACUUUUCUUUUCCUUUCAGAUUAUCUCUACGACAAGGAAGAUAUUGAGAUUGCUAAUGGAAUGCUUAGUAAUUACUUGAGUUGUCGUGCCCAACAUUCUAAUUGCUUCAAUAAAGUAUAAUAUGGACUAACUUUUUCUUUUUGUUAUGAUAUUUAAUUUAGGGAGUCAGCCUGUGUGCAGGUGGGUGCAUGCACUUGUGUACGAGUGUGUGUAUUUGGUGUGUACGUGUGUGCAUGGUAUCGGUUAAAGCUGUGCAAGUUCUAUAAUCGUGCAAAAGUUAGGUUUGCAAUAAGGAAGAUGUUGCGAUUGUUAAUGGAAUGUUUAGUGAUUACUUAAGUUGUAUCGUGCCCAACAUUCUAAUCGCUUCAAUAAGGUAUAAUCUGGACUAGCAUUUUGUUUUUGUUAGGAUGUUUAAUUUCAAGAGUCAGCCUAUGCGCGGGUGGGUGCAUGCACUUGUGUACGGAUGUGUAUUUUUGGUGCGCACGUGCGUGCACGAUAUUGGUUAAAGCUGUGCAAGUUCUACAACUAUGCAAAUGUACCGUUUCUAACUUUUCACUAUGACACUCUCACUCUCUCUAUUUUUUGUCUUUGUGUAUAUUGGAUCGAAUCUGUAUAAGGAAGAAACUUCAAUUAGUUGUAUUCGGACCCUAGAGUUGCUUUCUUUAAUAUAUGUACGACCUAGAAGGCAAAUACUUUUCUUUUUCUUUUCAGGUUAUCUUUGUGACAAGGAAGAUAUUGCGAUUAGUAAUGAAAUGGUUAUUGAUUGCUUGAGCUAUCCUGCCCAACAUUCUAAUGGCUUCCAUAAUCUAUAUUUUAA